rnacentral:rRNA from 1 species
GACGAACGCUGGCGGCGUGCUUAACACAUGCAAGUCGAACGGAAAGGCCCUGCUUUUGUGGCGUGCUCGAGUGGCGAACGGGUGAGUAACACGUGUGUAACCUGCCCUUGACUUUGGGAUAACUUCAGGAAACUGGGGCUAAUACCGGAUAGGAGCUCCUGCUCCAUGGUGGUGGUUGGAAAGUUUCGGCGGUUGGGGCUGGACUCGCGGCUUAUCCGCUUGUUGGUGGGGUAGUUGCUUACCAAGGUUUUGACGGGUAGCCGGCCUGAGAGGGUGACCGGCCACAUUGGGACUGAGAUACGGCCCAGUCGCCUACGGGAGGCAGCAGUGGGGAAUAUUGCACAAUGGGCGGAAGCCUGAUGCAGCAACGCCGCGUGCGGGAUGACGGCCUUCGGGUUGUAAACCGCUGUCGCCGUUGACGAAGCGUGAGUGACGGUAAUGGGUAAAGAAGCACCGGCUAACUACGUG